UGUGUGUGUGUGUGUGUAGCUAGCUAGCUAGCUAGCUAGCUAGAUAGAUAGAUAUUUAUGGGGUACAUAACUUUCUAUCUUUGUAGUGUUUACAAAGGCAAGUAAAAUUAUCUCUCUGUGGCUGGAUGCAGUGGCUCACCUCUGUAAUCCAGCAAUUUGGGAGGCCAAAGCGAGUGGAUCACUCGAGCUCAGGAGUUCCAGACCAGCCUGGGCAACAUGGUGAAACCCAGUCUCUACUAAAAUGCAAAAAUUAGCCGGAUGUGGUGGCUCAUGCCUGUAAUCCCAGCUACUCAGGAGGCUGAGGUGGGAGAAUCGCUUGAACCUGGGAGGCGGAGGUUGCACUGAGCCAAGAUGUUGCCACUGCACUCCAGCCUGGACAAACAGCGAGACUCUGUCUCAAAAAAACGACAAACAAACAAAAAAAGUUCUCUCUCUGUCUGUCUCUCCUAUCUAUCUAUCUGUCUAUCCCUCUAUCUACCUACCUAUUUAUCACCUUUCUGUCUACCCACCCAUGUGUCACCUAUCAGUACUUAAUCUCGAAUUCAUUAAAACUUUAUUUCGUGAUUCAUUAAUGUUGCUUUAAUGUUUAUGUUUAUCAUUGUAGUCAAUAGUUUGACUAUAUAGAUUUUGUAAAUUUUUUAUGACUGGCAGUUUCUUUAUGAAUGACAUUGGCCAUCAAGUUCAUUCUUAACACUUGGAAAAUUAAUGUGUAAAGAUGCAAUAUACCAAGCCUGUGUUAUGGAUAACAGUGCAUGUGUAUGUGUAAUAUGAGACUGAUAACCCAGCU
rnacentral:lncRNA from 1 species